UACGUAGGGUGCAAGCGUUAAUCGGAAUUACUGGGCGUAAAGCGUGCGCAGGCGGUUAUGCAAGACAGAUGUGAAAUGCCCGGGCUUAACCUGGGAACUGCAUUUGUGACUGCAUGGCUAGAGUUUGGCAGAGGGGGGUAGAAUUCCACGUGUAGCAGUGAAAUGCGUAGAUAUGUGGAGGAACACCGAUGGCGAAGGCAGCCCCCUGGGUCAAGAUUGACGCUCAUGCACGAAAGCGUGGGGAGCAAACAGG
rnacentral:rRNA from 1 species